GUGCACCAGUCGCGAAAACUCUGCAAUACGCGAAAGCGUGACAGGGCUACCCCGAGUGUCGUCCGCUGAGGACGACUUUUCCACGCUGUAAGGAGGCGUGGGAAUAAGGAGAGGGCAAGUCUGGUGUCAGCCGCCGCGGUAAUACCAGCUCUCCGAGUGGUAGGGACGUUUAUUGGGCUUAAAGCGUCCGUAGCCGGCUCAACAAGUCUCCCGUUAAAUCCAACGAUUCAACCGUUGAGCUGCAGGAGAUACCGCAGGGCUAGGAGGCGGGAGAGGUGGACGGUACUCUAUGGGUAGGGGUAAAAUCCUCUGAUCCAUGGAAGACCACCAGUGGCGAAGGCGGUCCACCAGAACGCGCUCGACGGUGAGGGAUGAAAGCUGGGGGAGCGAACCGGAUUAGAUACCCGGGUAGUCC
rnacentral:rRNA from 1 species